GACGAACGCUGGCGGCGUGCUUAACACAUGCAAGUCGAACGGAAAGGCCCUGCUUUUGUGGGGUGCUCGAGUGGCGAACGGGUGAGUAACACGUGAGUAACCUGCCCUUGACUUUGGGAUAACUUCAGGAAACUGGGGCUAAUACCGGAUAGGAGCUCCUGCUGCAUGGUGGGGGUUGGAAAGUUUCGGCGUUUGGGGAUGGACUCGCGGCUUAUCAGCUUGUUGGUGGGGUAGUGGCUUACCCAGGCUUUGACGGGUAGCCGGCCUGAGGGUGAGCGGCCACAUUGGGACUGAGAUACGGCGCAGACUCCUACGGUAGGCAGCAGUGGGGAAUAUUGCACAAUGGGCGGAAGCCUGAUGCAGCAACGCCGCGUGCGGGAUGACGGCCUUCGGGUUGUAAACCGCUUUCGCCUGUGACGAAGCGUGAGUGACGGUACUGGGUAAAGAAGCACCGGCUAACUACGUG
rnacentral:rRNA from 1 species